rnacentral:tRNA from 1 species
UAGCUCAGUUGGUAGAGCACGACCUUGCCAAGGUCGGGGUCGCGAGUUCGAGUCUCGUUUCCCG